UUGCACGCUGGCGGCAUGCUUUACACAUGCAAGUCGCGCGGCAGCGCGGGGGCAACCCUGGCGGCGAGCGGCGAACGGGUGAGUAAUGCAUCGGAACGUAUCCUCGAGUGGGGGAUAACCCAGCGAAAGUUGGGCUAAUACCGCAUGAGCUCUGAGGAGGAAAGCGGGGGACCUGCGAGGGCCUCGCGCUGGAGGAGCGGCCGAUGUCCGAUUAGCUAGUUGGUGGGGUAAAGGCUUACCAAGGCGACGAUCGGUAGCUGGUCUGAGAGGAUGAUCAGCCACACUGGGACUGAGACACGGCCCAGACUCCUACGGGAGGCAGCAGUGGGGAAUUUUGGACAAUGGGGGCAACCCUGAUCCAGCCAUGCCGCGUGAGUGAAGAAGGCCUUCGGGUUGUAAAGCUCUUUCGGACGGAACGAAAUGGGCGGGACUAAUACUCCUGUCUGAUGACGGUACCGUAAGAAGAAGCACCGGCUAACUACGUG
rnacentral:rRNA from 1 species